rnacentral:rRNA from 1 species
GACGAACGCUGGCGGCGUGCUUAACACAUGCAAGUCGAGCGGUAAGGCCCUUUCGGGGGUACACGAGCGGCGAACGGGUGAGUAACACGUGGGUGACCUGCCCUCAGCUCUGGGAUAAGCCUGGGAAACCGGGUCUAAUACUGGAUAUGACUCCAUGACGCAUGUUGUGGGGUGGAAAGCCUUGUGCGGCUGAGGAUGGGCCCGCGGCCUAUCAGCUUGUUGGUGGGGUGANGGCCUACCAAGGCGACGACGGGUAGCCGGCCUGAGAGGGCGACCGGCCACACUGGGACUGAGACACGGCCCAGACUCCUACGGGAGGCAGCAGUGGGGAAUCUUGCGCAAUGGGCGAAAGCCUGACGCAGCGACGCCGCGUGAGGGAUGACGGCCUGGUGUAACU